rnacentral:lncRNA from 1 species
UAGGUUCACUGCUGCUUUUGUACACUGCUGACAACCAAAUAGGGCUGUCACACAGAAUGACAAGAAAAAAGAAUUUGAAAACUUGCUUUUGUAUUCCAGUUUUUUGUGCUUAAGUUUGAAAAUUUUGUGAGUAGAUGGGAUAUGGUUUGAUCAUAAUCAGAGCCCAGGUAUUCAGGUCCAUAGUGGUUUCAGUUCAUUCAUGAUUCUAAGGUGUGUGGGAUCUGAGGUGACACUGGUAAUCCAUAGAGACUUCAUACCAGUCUAAACCCCUGCAGUUAUUUCUUACGGGAUCAGAGAACUCAUCUGCUUUCCUUGUGCAUGAGAAAAAUUGGGGCCCAAGAUUAGGCUGGCUUUAGAGACUUGAGUAAGUUGAGUCAUGUGAUUUGUAUAUUUUGUCUGCAAUAAAUAAGCUUAUUCUAAUGCAGUGUUUUAUUUCUGCAGAGAUUUCAGAAUGAAAGUGGAUUAUGUAAUAAUACUGUCCAUUUAUGAGUUUAGUUACCAGUUCAUUUGUUGCCACUCUAUUAAAAUCUAAUAGUUUCACUAGCCCUUAUAAAAGGACAUUACCCUAUCUUUAUUUGUAGAUACUAGUUUCAAAAGUAUGACCCCUUUGCCAUCUUCACCAUCUUUAAAUGUACAGUUCAGGAGUGUGAAAUGUAUUCAUAUUGUUGUGAAACAAAUCUUCAGAACACUUUUGUCUUGCAAAACUGAAAUCCUAUACCGAAUAAACAACUGCUCCCCUUUCCUCUCACUUCCCAGCCCCUUGUGACCACCGUGCUGCUUUCUGUUUCAGUGAAUUUGAUCAUGUUAGAAACCUCAUAGAAGUAUUUGUCUUUUUGCGACUGGCUUAUUUCACUCCGUGUAGAGUCCGCAAGGUUCAUUCAUGUUGUAGUUGUUGACAGGAUUUUCUUCCUUUUUAAGGCUGAAUAAUAUUCUGUUGUAUGUAUAUACCGCAUUUUAUCUAGCCAUCCAUUGAUGGACAGUUGGGUUGCUUCCUCCUCCUGGCUGUUGUGAAUAAUGCUGUUAGGAAUGUGAGUGUGCAAAUAUUUCUUCAAGACCCUGCUUUCAGUUCUUUUGGAUAUUUACCCAGAAGUAGGAUU